rnacentral:rRNA from 1 species
CCUACGAGUGGCAGCAGUGAGGAAUAUUGGUCAAUGGGCGGGAGCCUGAACCAGCCAAGUCGCGUGAAGGAAGAAGGUACUUAGUAUUGUAAACUUCUUUUGUCGGGGAACAAAGGCGGAGACGCGUCUCCGGAUGAGUGUACCCGAAGAAAAAGCAUCGGCUAACUCCGUGCCAGCAGCCGCGGUAAUACGGAGGAUGCGAGCGUUAUCCGGAUUUAUUGGGUUUAAAGGGUGCGCAGGCGGGAGAUCAAGUCAGCGGUAAAAUGUCGGGGCUCAACCCCGGCCGGCCGUUGAAACUGGUUGUCUAGAGUUGGAGAGAGGUAUGCGGAAUUCGUGGUGUAGCGGUGAAAUGCAUAGAUAUCACGAAGAACUCCGAUUGCGAAGGCAGCAUACCGGCUCCAUACUGACGCUGAGACACGAAAGCGUGGGGAUCGAACAGGAUUAGAUACCCCUGUAGUC